GGACACACCUCUGGUGUAUCGGUUGUCACGCCAGUGGCAUUGCCGAGUAGCUAAGUGUGGAAGAGAUAACCGCUGAAAGCAUCUAAGCGGGAAACUCGUCUCAAGAUGAGUCUUGCCGGGGCCUUGAGCCCCCUGAAGGGUCGUUCGAGACCAGGACGUUGAUAGGCUGGGUGUGGAAGCGCAGUAAUGCGUUAAGCUAACCAGUACUAAUUGCCCGUGAG
rnacentral:rRNA from 14 species